GCAUAGAAUGCUUUAUUAUAAAGGGGAUUUUUUGUUGGUGAACCGUUGUGCCGUCUAUGCUGCCUGGUACUGUGUGGCAAUUAUUUUCAUGGUAAAAUAACAUUUUCAUUCAUAUGAUGCCAACUGAUGUGGCUCAUGAAAUUAAAUGUAUAUUUUGGAAUGUCAGUUGAGUUUAACCAACAAAUCACAGCAUAUAUUGAUUGGUACACUUCCUACUUUUACUUCCUACUUUACCGUUUUGUUCCAAUGCGUACACUUACAAUCAAAUCAAACUGUAUGUGUCACAUGCUUCUUAAACAACAGCUGUAGACUAACAGUGAAAUGCUUCUUAAACAACAGCUGUAGACUAACAGUGAAAUGCUUCUUAAACAACAGCUGUAGACUAACAGUGAAAUGCUUCAUAAACAACAGCUGUAGACUAACAGUGAAAUGCUUCAUAAACAACAGCUGUAGACUAACAGUGAAAUGCUUCAUAAACAACAGCUGUAGACUAACAGUGAAAUGCUUCAUAAACAACAGGUGUAGACUAACAGUGAAAUGCUUCUUAAACAACAGCUGUAGACUAACAGUGAAAUGCUUCUUAAACAACAGCUGUAGACUAACAGUGAAAUGCUUCAUAAACAACAGCUGUAGACUAACAGUGAAAUGCUUCAUAAACAACAGGUGUAGACUAACAGUGAAAUGCUUCUUAAACAACAGGUGUAGACUAACAGUGAAAUGCUUCAUAAACAACAGCUGUAGACUAACAGUGAAAUGCUUCAUAAACAACAGCUGUAGACUAACAGUGAAAUGCUUCAUAAACAACAGCUGUAGACUAACAGUGAAAUGCUUCAUAAACAACCGGUGUAGACUAACAGUGAAAUGCUUCUUAAACAACAGCUGUAGACUAACAGUGAAAUGCUUCUUAAACAACAGGUGUAGACUAACAGAGAAAUGCUUACUUACAGGCCCUUCCCAUCAAUGCAGAGGAAUAAAUACACAAUGAGAAAUGAUAACUUGUCUAUUAUAUACACGGGGUACUAGUACCGAGUCGAUGUGCAGGGGUACGAGGUAAUUGAGUUAAAUCCAGUAUGUACAUAUAGGUAUGGAUAAAGCUACUAGGCAACAGGAUAGAUAAUAAACAGUAGCAGCAGGAUAUGGGAUGAGUCAAAAUAAUUAGUGCAAAUAGGGUCAAUGCAGAGAGUUAAAUAGUUAACCAAUUGUUACCCAGACUAACUAUGUCUUAUGGCUUGGGGGUAGAAGCUGUUCAGGGUCCUGUUGGUUCCAGACUUGGUGCAUUGGUACCACUUGCUGUGCGGUAGCAGAGAAAACAGUCUAUGACUUGGGUGGCUGGAGUCUUUGACAAUUUUUAGGACCUUCCUCUGACACCACCUGGUAUAGAGGUCCUGGGUGGCAGGACGCUUUUGCCCCAGCUAUGCCGCACGCACUACCCUCUGCAGCGCCUUGUAGUCGGAUGCCAAGCAGUUGCCAUACCAAGCGGUGAUGCAGCCAGUCAAAAUACUCUCAAUGGUGCAGCUGUAUAACGUUUUGAGGAUCUGAAGGUCCAUGCCAAAUUGGAGAUGGUGCUUUGAUGGUGCUUUGAUGGUGCUUUGAGGUGGAGAAGGUGCCUUGAGGUGGAGAUGGUGUCUUGAGGUGGAGAUGGUGCUUUGAGGUGGAGUCUUGAGGUGGAGAUGGUGCUUUGAGGUGGAGAAGGUGUCUUGAGGUGGAGAUGGUGUCUUGAGGUGGAGAUGGUGCUUUGAGGUGGAGUCUUGAGGUGGAGAUGGUGCUUUGAGGUGGAGAUGGUGUCUUGACUUGGAGAUGGUGCCUUGAGGUGGAGAUGGUGCUUUGAGGUGGAGAUGGUGUCUUGACUUGGAGAUGGUGCCUUGAGGUGGAGAUGGUGCUUUGAGGUGGAGAUGGUGUCUUGAGGUGGAGCUACUCACAAGGUUUUCCCCAGCUAUCACCCUCCACAGAAAGUUAAAAAGGUGAUGAGAAGGGAAAGGAGAAC